rnacentral:rRNA from 1 species
CAGCAGCCACGGGAAUACAGAGGGUGCAAGCGUUAAUCGGAAUUACUGGGCGUAAAGCGCGCGUAGGUGGUUCGCCAAGUUGGAUGUGAAAUCCCCGGGCUCAACCUGGGAACUGCAUCCAAAACUGGCGAGCUAGAGUAUGGUAGAGGGUGGUGGAAUUUCCUGUGUAGCGGUGAAAUGCGUAGAUAUAGGAAGGAACAUCAGUGGCGAAGGCGACCACCUGGACUGAUACUGACACUGAGGUGCGAAAGCGUGGGGAGCAAACAGGAUUAGAUACCCCCGUAGUCCCUGUCUCUUAUAA